AGCUGAGAUGAACCAGUGGCCGGUUGCUCCUGAGUAGGGAUGGCGGUCACACAAGCACAUAAAGGCUGCUACGACUUCGGAGAGGAGACGUCGCCUCUGAGCGCAGAGAGAAAACAAAAAUAAGACGGCGGAAGGGAAUACUAACGUCUCAGGACCCACAGCUCUCGUAAACAGGCUCGGAACUUGAGUUUAAAAGGAAAAUUCAGUCUCCCGGGUUCUUGCCCACGACCUGCCCGCCGGACCCUCUGGAUCACCAUGACAACCAGAAAACGCCUCCUCCCCACCCACAGGUCCCUGGAACGGACCCCCGCACCCACGGAAACUAGCAUCCCAACUGACCACACUUGGUAGAGGUGCUGAGGCUAGAAGCCACCAACAACGAAGGUCUUCCCACAAAAAUGUCACCCCAAGCCAGACUGGACCGCCUCCACUCCCAAAGGAUGCAAAACUCUCUUGGUCUUAACUAGGUUAUAGAUGCGGACAGAAAAGAUACAUCAUUGUCUUAAGUCAGAAAACAGGUUUUUGGUUUUGUUUUUUUCCCUGUAAAACUCGUACACUGAGAGGUCCCUGAAUGUUUUUCCUCUGAAAGCCUCACCUUGUUACGUUGCCUGCAAAACAAGCAGCUUCACUUCAACCGUGUCUCUUCCGCGUCUGUUUUGUUAACACACCUCUCCUUUGAAAUGAUACCUGGGAAAGAAAAAAAAAAAAAAAUGGAGAGAACGUUCCUCUGGGAAGGGGCUUGCUCCUUAUAGGAACUUUUAAAGGUCAUUUCUCCCUUAAUAUAUUUAUUUUAGCAUCCAUUGGCAAGUGAUAGAAGAGAAAUGGACACCGAGCUGGAUCAUGACGCAGAAUGUUCUAUCAGUUUAUUAGUGUGUCCAGGAAAUUCACAGCUGGCAUAGGUUGUAUCCUCCAGAGGGGUAACAGUUCAACCAAAACCUAAUCUGAAGGAUCUCACAGGAGAUACGUUCUCCAGGGAGAAAUUUUUAUCACUAAACAAGGCAAUUCUUGCUGGUACUAAUUAUCCAAAAAUAAUGUUGUUGAUUUUAACGUCAUUCCCUCUUUUUUUUUUUUUCCUUACUGUCUUUUUAGGGUGGUUCCUGCUGCAUAUGGAAGUUCCCCAGCUAGGGGUCAAAUCAGAGCUGUAGCUACCAGCCUCGCCAUAGCUCACAGCAAUGCCAGAUCAUUAACCCACUAACUGAGGCUGGGAGGUGAACCCACAUCCUCGUGGAUACUAGUUGGGUUCAUUAUUACUGAGCCACAAUGGAAACUCCCAUUCACAAUCUUUAAAAAAAAAAAAAAAAUGGCCAUUGCUAGAUAUGAAUUCUGGGGAUCCCUGGUGGCUCAGCUGGUUAAGGAUCUGGCAUUGUCAGUGGCUCUGGCGGGGUUGCUGCUGUGGCGCGGGUUCGAUCCCUGGCCGGGCAAUUUCCACAUGCUGUGGGUAUGGCCGAAAAAGAGAGAAAAGCAUCAUGUCCUCAAUGCCAGCCCUGCACUUGCUAUAAUGAACGGCUGCUGAAUUAAAUGUCGAAUAAAUAAACACCAGGUUCAUGCCAAGAAGCCGCAUAAGUGCAUACACUCAGUUAAUUUACCCUGCUGUUGUUAUUCACCACAUUAACCAGCCUCCUAGAGUUCCCAUCUAGACCCCCAAGAAAGACGGAGAGAGACUGAAAGCUAAGAGGAACAGGAAGGAAGCCUAAAGCCCAGUGGGAGGUCGGCUGGUCCCAGCACCAAGCCGUCAGCAUUUCCAUCUGUGCUUCUCUUGCACGCCUCUGCCUAUCCUGGGCUACCGGGCAACCUGCGAGAGAAGGAAAAUACAGAGGCAAGGCGGGACCGCUGAGUAGUCUUACCUACCCGAAAGGACUCCUGUGGCGAUUGCAUCAACCCACGGCAUCCAAGGUGCUUCUCACCCUGUGACUCACAGCUGUUUCCUGAGGGUUCGGUAUGCAAUGGACCCAAGCCUCGAACCCGCCCACCACUGGGACUUCGCUUCUGUCCUAAAAGAGCUGACUCCCUAGUGAAAAUACUAAUGUAUACAAAUGGGCUGUCCCUUCAGGACAGAAAGAAGGUUCAUUAAAAAGUUCCUGUAAAAGGGUCUAUUCGGCUCCAGUGUUUCUGCGUCUAGCAGCUGCUGAAGACAGAGCAUCUCGUGGAUUUAGGAAACAGUCAAAGGAUUUGGUAAUGACUGGAGGAAAGCAAUCUCAGGAAGACUUGUACGCACUUUACUACAUUAUUUACAUAAAGUGAACUCUGAAGAAUAUAUCACGGAGUCAGAAAUCAAGUUCGGCUCCCUAAGGAGCUGAGGGUAACCAAGAACCAGGAGCCAAGCCAGUGGCUUGGGCAGGUGUGCUUUGGUCUCAUCCUCUUUGCUCCUUUGCUUCUUGUCUGGAAUGCCCACUUCUUGCUAGAGGGCCUCUUGCUGAAAAGCUUUCAUCUUUUUUUUUUUUUUUAAUCUUUUUUUUUUAGGGCUGCUCCCACAGCAUAUGGAGGUUCCCAGGCUAGGGGUCCAAUCAGAGCGUAGCCGCUGGCCUGCACCACAGCCACAGCCAUGCCAGAUCCGAGCCACGUCUGCGACCUACACCAGAGUUCACAGCAACGCCGGAUCCUUAACCCACUGAGCGAGGCCCGGGAUCAAACCUGCAUCCUCAUGGAUCCUAGUCAGGUUUGUUAGCCGCUGAGCCUUUAAGGGAACCCCCAGUUAUUUAUUUAUUUAUUUAUUUUCAGUGAAACACAGCAGGUGGUUUGUUGUCCAUCAUAGGAAGAAAAAAGCAUGGCAGCUUUGCACAAGUACGGUUCUUCCACCUUCCUGACUUCCGUGUGUGAACGUGUGUCACACGCCAGCUGCCAAUCAGGGAACCCACUGUGAAGAUGAGCUGGUACCAGUGCCCUUAACCCCGAGCCAGACAAACAGCAGGAAUGAGGGGAAAACCCUCCCUCAGGGUCAUGCCCCUCGAGCUGGCGAGUGGGCGUGUGAUCCUAGGAAAGGAAUCUACCUUUUCUUUUUUUAUUUCCUUUUUAAAAAUGAAAGUGUAGUUGAUUUACAGUGAUUCAUGUGCCCAGCAAAGUGAUUUAAUGAUAUUUUGGAGUCCCCUGGCGGCUCAGCAGGUUAAGGAUCCAGCAUGGUCACUGCUGUGGCUUAGGUUACUGCAGGGGUACGGGUUUGAUCCCUGGCUUGGGAACUUCCACAUGCCAC
rnacentral:lncRNA from 1 species